CUACUAUAUCCCAGUCCCUCCGUCUACUAAAAACCCCUGCUUAAAAGAAAAACAAUUAAAAAAAACAAAACAAAAACAAAAAAACAGCCAACAAGCAGUGUCUGGAGUCCACACCUUAAAAAAGCAGAUCCUCCUGUUACUCCUUGAAACCCUCGCACACACACACUGACAGACACACAGGCUCACUGACAGACACACACAAACAUUGAC